UUUUUUUUUUUUUUUAAAAAUUUUUUAGGGCUGCAGAGAAGAUGAAACCCAAGGUUGGAAUCUCAGGUCCCUAAGAAAGAUGUUUCCAAAGACAAGCAUUGAAUUAUCUUAAGCAGGAAUUAGGAAGCUGCUUAUGCAAACCAGUCUAAACCUGCUCUAUGCUGUUACCUUUUUUGAAGAUCUUGAAUAAAACUAAUGUCGUUGAGAGGUUCCCAAUAUAUGACUGUUGUAGAAUAUGCACCAUCUCAACAUGUUCCAAAACCGUGGGCUAAAAAAGAUGGCCGUGAAGGGACCAUAUUCAAAGGUGAUAAUAUUUUAUCAAGAAAAGAAUAAUACAGAAAUAAAGAAUGAAGCUGGCGAUGAGACAUCACCACUUGGGAUAAGGACUCCUCUUCUCAAGAUGGUUCAAAAACCCCAAAAGAUAGAUUGACAAACAAUUUACAAGAUUUUGCUAAAUC